UACGCUUCUCCCUUUUUGGCUAAGAUCAAAGUGUAGUAUCUGUUCUUAUCACACUUAAUGGUCUGAUACGAUCCCAUGUGGGAUCUACGAUAUUAAAACUGAUUUUGGCAAAAGGCGAAGGUGCUAGGGGCUUUGCUCCCACCUUUGCCCGCGGAUCGACCCGUAUUGCAGUACCUCCGGGAUGGUCCACGAUCC